AUACGGUGGGUCCGAGCGUUAUCCGGAAUCAUUGGGUUUAAAGGGUCCGUAGGCGGGAAUCUAAGUCAGUGGUGAAAUCUUGCAGCUCAACUGUAAAAUUGCCAUUGAUACUGGAUUUCUUGAAUUAGUGUGAAGUGGUUAGAAUGUGUAGUGUAGCGGUGAAAUGCAUAGAUAUUACACAGAAUACCAAUUGCGAAGGCAGAUCACUAACACUAUAUUGACGCUGAGGGACGAAAGCGUGGGGAGCGAACAGGAUUAGAAACCCUAGUAGUCC
rnacentral:rRNA from 1 species